CUUCACUAAAUUAUACCAAACACCUCAAUCCACUCUUAAAUCAUACAUAAACACAUCCUAGCUACUUGAAAUCAAGAGGAUCAUUGAAGAAAUGCUUCCAAGCUAGAGUGAGAAAGUGUGGGUGUUGGUGAAAAAUUUGGACCGAGCGAGACGAAGAAGUAAGUCGCCUGUUUUCUUUCCGAAACUAGCGAAGGACUUCAGGCUAAGCGAGGAGCGAGAUUGGUCUGGUGCUGGUGGGGAAUUGUUGGAGGAUGUAUUUACUUUAUCGUAUUUCCAUUUUGACGAUAAAGCCUUGAUGAUUGAUAUACUUUGAUUUUCUUUUGAAUUUAAGCAAUGUACUCCCGGUUAUAUGUCUUCAUACAUAUAAUCGAUUCGCCUUUUGCUGCGACACUCUGCAUAUUAUGAUUCCUUACGAAAAAUGAGCGAU